rnacentral:rRNA from 1 species
AGUGAACGCUGGCGGUAGGCCUAACACAUGCAAGCCGAACGGCAGCACAGUAAGAGCUUGCUCUUACGGGUGGCGAGUGGCGGACGGGUGAGGAAUACAUUGGAAUCUACUUUUUCGUGGGGGAUAACGUAGGGAAACUUACGCUAAUACCGCAUACGACCUACGGGUGAAAGCAGGGGAUCUUCGGACCUUGCGCGAUUGAAUGAGCCGAUGUCGGAUUAGCUAGUUGGCGGGGUAAAGGCCCACCAAGGCGACGAUCCGUAGCUGGUCUGAGAGGAUGAUCGGCCACACUGGAACUGAGACACGGUCCAGACUCCUACGGGAGGCAGCAGUGGGGAAUAUUGGACAAUGGGCGCAAGCCUGGUCCAGCCAUACCGCGUGGGUGAAGAAGGCCUUCGGGUUGUAAAGCCCUUUUGUUGGGAAAGAAAAGCAGCAGGUUAAUACCCCGCUGUUCUGACGGUACCCAAAGAAUAAGCACCGGCUAACUUCGUG